GAUGAACGCUGGCGGUCUGCUUAACACAUGCAAGUCGAACGGAAGUAGCAAUACUUUAGUGGCGGACGGGUGAGUAACGCGUAAGAACCUGCCUUCAGGACUGGAAUAACAGAGGGAAACGUCUGCUAAAACCGGAUGUGCCGAAAGGUGAAAAAUUAAUUGCCUGGAGAGGGGCUUGCGUCUGAUUAGCUAGUUGGAGUGGUAAAGGCACACCAAGGCGACGAUCAGUAACUGGUCUGAGAGGAUGAGCAGUCACACUGGGACUGAGACACGGCCCAGACCCCUACGGGAGGCAGCAGUGGGGAAUUUUCCGCAAUGGGCGAGAGCCUGACGGGGCAAGACCGCGUGAGGGAGGAAGGCCCUAGGGUUGUAAACCUCUUUUCUCUGGGAAGAAGAAUGACGGUACCAGAGGAAUAAGCCUCGGCUAACUCCGUGCCAGCAGCCGCCGUAAAAC
rnacentral:rRNA from 1 species